CAAGGGGCUGUGUGCGACAGAACCCUGUGAACCCCGCCAGGUCCGGAAGGAAGCAACGGUAAGCGGUCAGUUCUGUGUGCCGCAGGAUCACCUGGCCCC
rnacentral:SRP_RNA from 1 species